CCUACGGGAGGCAGCAGUGGGGAAUAUUGGACAAUGGGCGAAAGCCUGAUCCAGCCAUGCCGCGUGUGUGAAGAAGGCCUUCGGGUUGUAAAGCACUUUCAGUGGGGAAGAAAGCCUUGGGGCUAAUACCCUCGAGGAAGGACAUCACCCACAGAAGAAGCACCGGCUAACUCCGUGCCAGCAGCCGCGGUAAUACGGAGGGUGCGAGCGUUAAUCGGAAUUACUGGGCGUAAAGCGCGCGUAGGCGGUCUGAUAAGCCGGUUGUGAAAGCCCCGGGCUCAACCUGGGAACGGCAUCCGGAACUGACAGGCUAGAGUGCAGGAGAGGAAGGUAGAAUUCCCGGUGUAGCGGUGAAAUGCGUAGAGAUCGGGAGGAAUACCAGUGGCGAAGGCGGCCUUCUGGACUGACACUGACGCUGAGGUGCGAAAGCGUGGGUAGCAAACAGGAUUAGAUACCCUGGUAGUC
rnacentral:rRNA from 1 species